UUGAUUAAGCAAUAGAUAUAAGCUGAACCAGUAGCCUCAUGUGAAGGGUAUUAGAGCUGAAUGCCUGGCAGAUUUGUGUGAAGACUUAUAGCCACGGGACAGAUAGAUCUAUAUAUAUUGCCCAGGAAAUAUCGAACAGGGACCUGAGGAAACAUCUUGCUCACCAGCUGCACAGCACCUAGAGAGAAGCUCUGAAAAAGCCAGUCCUGCUAUCCCCAGAUAUCAUCCUUGUCCCACUGCUGAGAAAUAACAUUUUUGUAGAGGAGCUGGAAGAAGAAAACAUUUGUUCCCGGUCUGGUGCAGGCAUACUUGUUUAAACCUCUGUUGAAGACGAGUUUUCAGUGAUAUGUCUGUUCUGGCAUCGCUGUGGCUGAGGUGCAAACAUUUUAUUGCUGACACUGCUGUGAGAGAACUAAUCUGCAAAAUAGAGCAUCCUAAGCCACAGCAGCUCUUUGCCUCUGGGAAUCCAGGAAAGCAAAUACCCAUUUGGACAUAAAAGUAGGUUUGAGAUAGCUACAAGAAAGAUUUCCUGGGCAAACCGAGGAAUCUUCUUCAUUUGUGGUCAGUUAAUUCUCCUUUCCCAUAAACACCAUAGCUGGGGUCAGCUAUAGAAGAAAACAGUUAUUGAAAUCUGCUUUGUUUUUCAGAGAAUGUCUCAUCUUGGUCAGUAACACUCAGGACUUUUAUUUCGUGCUGCAAAAGCAGCCUGGAUAGAAGCUGACUGGGGAGGUAGAAAGCAGAUAUUUUCUUUAGUUCCAGUUUGCUGGUUAUUGCAUGGCAAUCAGCAGAUCCCAUUUUGCCUUAUGAUUUCAAAGUGAAAUUUUACUUGAGUGGAGCCUAAUCUGUGCUUGAGUGUAGUGAAUGACCUGAGCAAGCACAGACAGAACUUCACACCGCAAGGAAUAGCCUCCCAUGAGCUGUUAAGAGAUGCAGUUGUUGAAAUCAAACACUGGAAGCAAUUUUUAAAUGCCCAAAGAUGGAUUAUUCAAACUUUAAAAGCCCAGCUUCACUACAGUGUGGCAUAGUUGCUGAGUGUUGCAGUGUGGUGUGAGAAUGCAGAACAUUUCCCUGCAACAAUCCCAUCUCCUGGGCUCUCCAGUGCACUUGUUUUACAGCGAUUAAGGGACUGAGAGCUGCACUCUGUUUAAUUUUGUUUCCUGAAGGCACAGACUGAAGCAAUAUUAGAAGCAGACUGCACUGGCCUGUAGAAAACUCACAUUGUUGGAUUUCUUUUCCCCCACUGCUUGCCAAAGCCUCUGACAUCAACUUUAACCCAACAGGGAGCCAGAGGAAGGAGAGGGAGGUGCAAUGGCAGAUGGCAACCCACAAGGAGGCGAGAACUGCAUACUGCACUUUGGCACUCUGUGACAAGGACAACUUUACAGUAACCUAGUUUGCUUAUAAAUUGAAUGAGGAUUAUUUGCUAUUUCCACCCUCCCCUUCCCCCCACCAUGUUUGGUCAGAUCACUGCAAGAUGGGCAAAAAAAAUAUCUAAU
rnacentral:lncRNA from 1 species